GGGACACACUGUGACAGGUGAGGACUUGUCAAAAUGUCAAAUAAACCGAACUUUAAGAAGAAAUGCAGUUCUGUCUGUAGCCACUGGAACUGUUAAAUUACUUAACAGAAAAACAAAAUGGGACUGGGACUCCAUCCUCCAGAGACCACCAGACGGUGGGGGGCGUGGCCUAUCUGACAGAUUCUGACAGAUCUGUCAGACCGGUCACCUGAUAAAAAGGACACGUCAGAUGACGCUCUGAGGAAGACUGCAGUUGCAGUUGAAACAUGUCAGCAAGACCAAAGAACUACAGACUCUUCACAACCUGCUCAAACUCUUGGUACAGGACCUCACCACACGGGUCAAGAAGGUUUCCUUCUCAUUUCUACUCUGAAGCUCACCUUCUCCUGCUCAAACUGCUGACAAAUGUUUCUGCUGCUCUAAAGUCUGGUCUCCAGAACGUCCUAAAAACUCUCAAAGUUUCUUCUGCUGCAGGUUGCUUUGUAGAACUGUUCCAGAAAACCUCACUAAACCACAUGGAGGAGCCUCAAGAUAGUCGUCCAAAUGAAACCAUACAAAAACCAAACUAGCACAACCCAAACACUAAAGUCUCCUGCAGCCUACCAGAGAACCUCUGAGAACAGAGAAUAAGGACAGGAACUCUUACCUUCUGGACAACCAACGUUGGUUCUCAAACAAGAAUACAGAAUGUGUCUGACCAAAAACCUCUGAAGACUCACUACACCCAAGAUAAAGACACAGCUCAGCUGCACCAAAUCCACUAAUCACUGCACACAUUAGCACCAUGUGCUAACUGUGGCUAAAGAACCACAUCUACCAAGACAACUAUCCAGUGCAAAGCUAUAAAACACACCAAGAAACACAUUAAAGAUGAUUUUACUGCUGGAAGCUGCAAGCCAACGCCUAAAGAACAAACUGAAGCAACGGAGCCAAACCCGGUUCACUGGUGAAGAGAAUCAGAGGAAAUGUUUGUCUGCAGCCACAUAAAGCAGGGAGACACUGAGCUGCUCAGGUGUUCCUGAUAACACCAAGCUGCUCAGGUGUUCCUGAUAACACCAAGCAGCCACCUGGACAGCCAAUAGGAACACAGCUUACUGGAAGUCCAGAGGGCUGGGUUAGGGAAGGAAAUUUAGUUUAAAGUUGAGGCAGAAAGUUAAUAAACAAAGUUGAAAACCACCUUCUGAUACCUGAAAUCUCUGAGUUUUCACACAAAGAACACCUGAACAUGUCAAACGGGUUCCAUAGUAGAACCCUCAUUGUAAAAACGUCAUAGUAUGGUGUGUUGCUCAAAAAACAUUAGGACCCGGCUGUCAGGGACAAACAUGUAAGAAACAUGAGAACAGAGAGAAUCCAACCAGUAGGUCACAGUUUAUCAUCCCCCAGUCAUCUCCUGAAGUCCAUAUGGUGAGAGACAUCAGUAUCUGGUUGUUCAUUUACCAGAGGAUGCUUAUAAUCAUGCUGAUGUGGUCUGUACUCUACAGUAUUUUAGUGACUCAAUAAAUGCCUAAGUUGUUUUUUUUUAAAUUCUUUUUAGUUUUUAAUAAACAUUUAACAGCCUAUAUGUAAUCAAUAAAUGGCCUUUGCCUAUCUUAAGAAAAAUUCACUCAGAACUCUGAUAUGUUAACAGUACUAAAUAAAUCAAUAAAUACACGCAUACACACAAAAAUAAGUUCAUACAUUAACUGUGUUAAGAUAAGAUUCAGAUUUUUAAAAAAGUUGUUUAUGUUUUUGCAGAAUCCAGUAUUGCUCACUGGUUGGUCAUUACAUUUUGUUAGUUUGAUUUCACUGUUUAAAAUGAUGCCACCUUUUUUCAGACAGAACCUGUGAUAAUAAAACGAUACAAAAUUUUUAGUUCCGUGUUAAUAAAGCACUUAAAGUUUUAAGUAUGGCCAAAUGCUUUUUUCAAAAUUAAAUAUAUCACUCCUUAGGUGGUAGUGGCCCCAAGUUCAGUAAAGUUGGAAAGAUAUUCACAGAUUCAGACUUCCAGCAUCAAUAACUCAUUAGAUAUAGGUUGUCAAAACAUAAACGAUGCCUCUUUCCCAUUGUUGCAAGGCAGACAAUGUGCUACAAGCCCAGUUUUAUCAAAAGUAGCUGUCUUUCAAGCUACAGGAAUAACAUUGGUGUCUAUGGAGUGAACAGGGUCCGUCUGCAAUUUGCAAAACCGCUGCAACAGUAAAGAGAGACAAAUAUUCAAUAACUUCACUCUUAUACAUUGUAGUGUCACUAAAAUCACUGCAGCCUUCAACUGGCUCCUGUUGACAAAGUGUUUUAACAGAAAUGUAAAUGCUGUCAUUUGAUUCUUUUAAUGAACCAUGUAACUUGAAUGGAUGUGAUGCUGGUGUGACCACAGUGCACACGUCUGAUGUUGCUCACAGUGGUCCAAGGGACGCUCAGGGAGUUUGUGUGUUUGCUCACACUCAUGAAAAAUUACAGGGAACAUUGGUGGGGUUAAUAUAUAAUUGAGGGUCUUUUGAAGUCCAUGGGAUACAUCUUGCAUACAUUUUUAUUAAAAGUCAAAAAAAUAAUGUUUUUUAUGUUCAUUAUGAUCAUGUCUUUACAAAUUCCAUAAUUAUUUAUUAUGGAAACAAUCACUUAGCAAUAAAAAAAUCACUGGAUAUCAACAUUUCAAUUAAAUAACCGUCCCA